rnacentral:rRNA from 1 species
AAUCAACGCUGGCGGCGUGCCUCAGACAUGCAAGUCGAACGAUUAAAGCUCUCUUCGGAGAGUGCAUAGAGUGGCGCACGGGUGAGUAACACGUAAGUAAUCUACCUUCGAGUGGGGAAUAACGUCCGGAAACGGACGCUAAUACCGCAUAAUGCAGCGGCAUCGUAAGAUGACAGUUGUUAAAGAUUUAUCGCUUGAAGAGGAGCUUGCGGCAGAUUAGCUAGUUGGUAAGGUAAUGGCUUACCAAGGCUACGAUCUGUAACCGGUCUUAGAGGACGGUCGGUCACACUGACACUGAAUAACGGGUCAGACUCCUACGGGAGGCAGCAGUCGGGAAUUUUGGGCAAUGGGCGAAAGCCUGACCCAGCAACGCCGCGUGAAGGAUGAAGUAUUUCGGUAUGUAAACUUCGAAAGAAUAGGAAGAAUAAAUGACGGUACUAUUAUAAGGUCCGGCUAACUACGUGCCA